CGACUUACAAAGACCUUUGUCUCUAAAAGAAAGGGAUGUCACCAUGGGAAUUCUGUAGUUUAAAACGAAUUCUGAGGAGAAGAGGACAGCAAACAGGACAGGAGCGACUUUGUCAAGAGUGAGGAGAAUUUUUGAAGGUGGAAAAGAAGGAGUCAAAACAAACGCAGUUUAAAAAAAACGGAGAAUUACAUUAUAUUAAUAUUCAAUUGACAACGAAAGGCUACAAAUAUUGCUAAAAAAUGAUUUCCUUUGACAUUACGAAAAUGAGAAGAAACACUUUCUUCAAACUAGCUAUUUACAUGCUAUUAAAUUUGCUACUUCAAGAAAAAGAAACAUUGGCAGAAACGACAAUUGUAUCUUCAUCUGCUGUAGAAUCCAGUUCAGUCUCUCCUUCGUCAAGCAUCGAAGCAAUAGUUUCAUCAUCUUCGAGUGACAUUUUACCUUCAACUGCAGCAGAGUCAUCA